rnacentral:lncRNA from 1 species
AUUACACAGCUGUACCAUAAAAACUAUUUAAACUGUUGAUGUUGAGAAAGGAGUAUAGUGAACGUGCAGUAUCCUGAUAGCCAUGACGAAAUAGAUGAUGUUAAAAAUAUAUAUGCAUGUCCAACUGAAAGACAAUUCAUCUUGCAUACUGGACUACAAAAUAUUUGUGUCUCCUCAUGCGGGUCCGACCAGGUUUUAAACGGUUCGACGUGCAUCAAUGUGACACUAUGUACCAAACCGGUAUUAUCAGAUGGACAGUGUCUUGAUCAAUGUCCAGAAGGACACGUGUAUGUCCCCAUGGUAACGAAAGACAAUUACGACAUAUUUACGGGAAAAUAUCAUUAUACUACAGCCGACAUAAAGGAUAGUCCUUGCAUCUACUAAUUGGUAUUACUGCAUGUGCACUGUUCUUAUACAUUAUGUUUGCAUUGCUGUACUUGUCGACGAUAUCAUUUUCAUCUUCAAAACUGAUGACCUGGUUUCGAAGUUUGAACGGCGGAUGUUUGCUCAAAGGAAAGAUGAAUUGUUAAUUAAUACAAGUCCUGGUGAUGAUGAAAACGGUUCCAGCUUUGGUUAAGGACUGAAUAAGAGUUCAGUUUUUCUCGUUAGGCCAAGAGGAAAAGUGAUUGUUAUUUACAGACUGUCAAGAAUGUUAAAUCACAACGAUGUAAAAUAUUACACCAGAGUUCAGAUGGUCAAUCAGAUUUCGGAUAUUGCAUGAAUUUAAUCUUCUGGUGGUGACUAUUACAAUUAUUGGUAUUCAUAAGAGUAGAUAUCAACAGGACGGCUUAAAAUUUUGAUCUUAUCUGAUUAACAAAUUUUAAAAUAAAAACAAAGUCCUGUCUUUAACGCACACAUUUAUCAUAUAGCCCCUUGCAUAUUCUUCAAAAUUCAGGUUAAGUUCUACCUGAUGUGAAAGAACAAAACUGAUAUUUUGCCUAAGUUCAAAUUUUGACAUAAGAAGGCAUGCUGAAUAAACUCAGUAUAAUUAUGCAUCUCUGACGAACAUAUAUGCCCUUUGUAGCGAAACGUGCUGGCUAACCAAAAAGUGUUAGGCAUUGCUAAAAUAUUGCAGUCCUUUUUUGACUUUGGUUUAACAUCAACAGUAUUCCAGUACAUUUUAUUGGAUUACGUUAACAUUGUCAGUAUUGCCGAAAUGCUCAUUUGCUUUAAGGAAACAUUAUUUCUGUAUUCCAGUAUUUCUUUCCGGUGUCAGUCUGUUCUUAUCACGUAAUAGAAAACCGGAGUAUGAGUCCAAAUGACCUAACGUAGACUUGAAUUAUAGUAAAAUUGAGAAAGUUUGAUAAUUAUCUUCAUUUGUUUUACUUGUAUUUCAACUUUUGGUAUUUGUUCGUUUGUAGUUUCAGUUUUUCUCUAAGCAAAACCACUCCGCCAAAAAUAUUUAGCUAGAUAAACCAUUUUAACGCGAGUACAUGCUUUUUUUCGAUCGGGUUAAUAUAUCGACAGUAUUUUUGUUUAAAAACAAGGAAAAAGACUUCAAAGAUUUCAAAUCCCAUGUAGUCUUUCGCCUUGCUUUCUGUGUGCGCGAUUACAAAUGCAGUGGCAAGCUGAGAACCUGCUACUGCAAUAGAUAAACCCAAAGAGACUGUUUCAAAUUGAAAGUUGUUUCCUUUUUGUGUAAAUGGUCGAUGGUAUCCUAGUAUGUGUACUUCACAAAUCUUUUGAAUCUCAGUUAUAUCAUACGGUAUAAUAAACGAGCCGCUGGCUAGCUUAAUAUUUACAAAAGCUAACAUUGUUUACAAUUAAGGUU